CAGCUCGUGUCGUGAGAUGUUGGGUUAAGUCCGCAACGAGCGCAACCCCUAUUGUUAGUUGCCAUCAUUCAGUUGGGCACUCUAGCGAGACUGCCGGUAAUAAACCGGAGGAAGGUGGGAUGACGUCAAAUCAUCAUGCCCCUUAUGACCUGGGCUACACACGUGCUACAAUGGUUGGUACAACGAGUUGCGAGUCGGUGACGGCGAGCUAAUCUCUUAAAGCCAAUCUCAGUUCGGAUUGUAGGCUGCAACUCGCCUACAUGAAGUCGGAAUCGCUAGUAAUCGCGGAUCAGCACGCCGCGGUGAAUACGCUCCCGGGCCUU
rnacentral:rRNA from 1 species